rnacentral:rRNA from 1 species
UAGGGACUAUUGCAAAUGGGCGAAAGCCUGAUGUAGCAACGCCGCGUGUGCGAUGAAGGUCUUCGGAUUGUAAAGCACUUUUUGGAGGGAUGAGGAAGGACAGUACCUCCAGAAUAAGCCUCGGCUAACUACGUGCCAGCAGCCGCGGUAACACGUAGGAGGCAAGCGUUAUUCGGAUUUACUGGGCGUAAAGCGCGUGCAGGCGGUUUGGAAAGUUGGAUGUGAAAGCUCCUGGCUCAACUGGGAGAGGUCGUUCAAUACUUCCAGACUUGAGAGUGGUAGAGGGAGGUGGAAUUCCGGGUGUAGUGGUGAAAUGCGUAGAUAUCCGGAGGAACACCAGUGGCGAAAGCGGCCUCCUGGACCACUUCUGACGCUCAGACGCGAAAGCCAGGGUAGCAAACGG